GUUACCAUUCUGCUUAUCCUUUUUAUUAUGCCUGAGUUAGUCCUAGUGAGAAAGUCGGUGAGAUUGGGGCCGAACCCACUGGGAACUUUGUUGUAGUUCUCACCCCACUAUUCCACAGAGCCGGGACCGAGCGAGCCGGCGAGCGACCGCGGUAAAGGUAUCACACCCUAGAUAGUGGCCACCCGAGUCGGGCUUUACAUUUUGUUAGUAGUAUACCCUUUUAUCA
rnacentral:lncRNA from 1 species